rnacentral:rRNA from 1 species
AGUGAACGCUGGCGGUAGGCCUAACACAUGCAAGUCGAACGGCAGCACAGUAAGAGCUUGCUCUUACGGGUGGCGAGUGGCGGACGGGUGAGGAAUACAUCGGAAUCUACUUUUUCGUGGGGGAUAACGUAGGGAAACUUACGCUAAUACCGCAUACGACCUACGGGUGAAAGCAGGGGAUCUUCGGACCUUGCGCGAUUGAAUGAGCCGAUGUCGGAUUAGCUAGUUGGCGGGGUAAAGGCCCACCAAGGCGACGAUCCGUAGCUGGUCUGAGAGGAUGAUCAGCCACACUGGAACUGAGACACGGUCCAGACUCCUGCGGGAGGCAGCAGUGGGGAAUACUGGACAAUGGGCGCAAGCCUGAUCCAGCCAUACCGCGUGGGUGAAGAAGGCCUUCGGGUUGUAAAGCCCUUUUGUUGGGAAAGAAAAGCAGCAGGUUAAUACCCCGCUGUUCUGACGGUACCCAAAGAAUAAGCACCGGCUAACUUCGUG